rnacentral:rRNA from 1 species
UACGUAGGGGGCAAGCGUUGUCCGGAUUUAUUGGGCGUAAAGAGCUCGUAGGUGGUUCGGUAAGUUGGAUGUGAAAUCUCCAGGCUCAACCUGGAGGGGUCAUUCGAUACUGCCGUGACUAGAGUUCGGUAGGGGAGUGUGGAAUUCCUGGUGGAGCGGUGAAAUGCGCAGAUAUCAGGAGGAACACCCGUAGCGAAGGCGGCACUCUGGGCCGAUACUGACACUGAGGAGCGAAAGCGUGGGGAGCGAACAGG